GCGGGAGUGGCGGAACUGGCAGACGCGCACGUUUGAGGGGCGUGUGGGUAACACCGUAUGGGUUCAAGUCCCAUCUUCCGCA
rnacentral:tRNA from 1 species